rnacentral:lncRNA from 1 species
GGCAGACAAGAAGCCCAGAUUGACUAAUGACUAAAUUGUGUGCACCUAAAGAAAAGUGUGAUGUUGGUAAGUUCAGGACCCAGGCGCAGACAACCGUUCAAAAACAAAAGGAACUUUAUUCCAAACAGGAAAACUCAAGUAGUCCAAAAACAGGGAGAAGAAAAGGCGAGCAACUGCAAACAGUGCUGAGGUCUAAGGCAAAAACAAAUCACUAGGCAGGCAAACAAGAGGGAUGUUGAGAAUCGUGACCUCUGAUGCUGAUUUGAAUUUGCCUGAUUGACCACGGCAGGGCUUCGGUCAGAAAGCUCACGGGACAUCAGAUGAGUUUAGAACCUUUACUGCAGGACUUUCUGGAUACAGCGGUGCAUUUUGAUACAGAGCAAUACAGUGCACUGUAGAGGGCAGUUUCUGAAAUAUAUUUAAAACUAAGGACUGUUUUAGCAUUGCAUACUGCUUAAAUGAACAGUAAAUAAUAACUUCACAGUAAAUAAAAUACAUUCAAAUAAGGAUUAACUAUCCCAUAGUCACAUGUGCUGUUUCCACCUUUAACCACAUAACAUAAAUAUGUAGCUAAAAUUAAGCUUGAGGCUAACAGCCAUAUAAACACUGAAUUAGCUUAGCUUGCUAAAUCGCGAUUAUGCUAACAGGCAAACCGGACCCCUUAAAGAGUACAAACAUACGCUAUGGGGAAACUACGCUAACAGAGGAGGAAAAGCAUUUUAAGGAAAUGAAAACUGAUAUGGACUCCACCACUGGGUGUAUUGACGAUAUUGUCAAUGCUUUUGUGUGUGAUUGGGAAGAAACUUCUCAGAAUAUUUCUGAGUUAAAAGAACUAGUUUUCAGCUGGAACGACAAAUAUGGCAAGGAUGUGGCAUUGGAGAUGACCCAACAAUAUCUUCAAAAGUGUUUUGCUGGGCAGAAAAUGUUUUGUGAGUAUUUUAAGGAUCUUGUGGAAGUUAACAUAUCUGAAACAAGGGUUUCCAAGGCUAAAAAAGUCAGGAAACUCAAGCGGACCUUGAAAAGCUGUGAAUCAUCUUCACCACGGAGCACACCUAAAGAGAAGGGGGCCACAGAGGAGGAUCAGUGGUCUCAGUCUUCCAUAACACUCUCUUCAAGUUUGUCUCGGUCACACGAGACUGAAGAAGAGUACACUGAAAGUGAAGAAGCUCAGAAAAAGGGCAAGAAAAAGGUCUUCAGAAGAGUUAAGGGGGCAUUUAAGAAAAGUUUUAGCAAAAAGCUUGCCCCUGUAUCAUCACACAGUGACGACCAUACCCCUGAAACAAGGGUUUCCAAGGCUAAAAAAGUCAGGAAACUCAAGCGGACCUUGACAAGCUGUAAGUCAUCUUCACCACAGAGCACACCUGAAGAGAAGGGGGACACAGAGGUGAAUGCAUGUUCUCAGUCUUCCAUAACACUCUCUUCAAGUUCCUCCUGGUCCCACAAGACUGAAAAAGAGUGCACUGAAAGUGAAGAAGCUCAGAAAAAGGGCAAGAAAAAGGUCUUCAGAAGAGUUACGGGGGCAUUUAAAAAACGUUUUAGCACCAAGGUUGUCCCUGUAACAUCAGACAGUGACGACCAUGCCCCUGAAACAAGGGUUUCCAAGGCUAAAAAAGUCAGGAAACUCAAACGGACCUUGAAAAGCUGUAAGUCAUCUUCACCACAGAGCACACCUGAAGAAAAGGGGGACACAGAGGAGGAUAAGUGGUCUCUGUCUUCCUUAACACUCUCUUCAAGUUCCUCCCGGUCCCACGAGACUGAAAAAGAGUGCACUGAAAGUGAAGAAGCUCAGAAAAAGGGCAAGAAAAAAUUCUUCAGUAGAGUUAAGGGGGCAUUUAAAAAACGUUUUAGCAACAAGGUUGUCCCUGUAACAUCAGACAGUGAUGACCAUGCCCCUGAAACAUUGGUUUCCAAGGCUAAAAAAGUCAGGAAACUCAAGCAGACCUUGAAAAGCUGUAAGUCAUCUUCACCACAGAGCACACCUGAAGAAAAGGGGGACACAGAGGAGGAUAAGUGGUCUCUGUCUUCCAUAACACUCUCUUCAAGUUCCUCCUGGUCCCACAAGACUGAAAAAGAGUGCACUGAAAGUGAACAAGCUCAGAAAAAGGGCAAGAAAAAGGUCUUCAGAAGAGUUACGGGGGCAUUUAAAAAACGUUUUAGCACCAAGGUUGUCCCUGUAACAUCAGACAGUGACGACCAUGCCCCUGAAACAAGGGUUUCCAAGGCUAAAAAAGUCAGGAAACUCAAACGGACCUUGAAAAGCUGUAAGUCAUCUUCACCACAGAGCACACCUGAAGAAAAGGGGGACACAGAGGAGGAUAAGUGGUCUCAGUCUUCCAUAACACUCUCUUCAAGUUCCUCCUGGUCCCACGAGACUGAAAAAGAGUGCACUGAAAGUGAAGAAGCUCAGAAAAAGGGCAAGAAAAAGGUCUUCAGAAGAGUUACGGGGGCAUUUAAAAAACGUUUUAGCAACAAGGUUGUCCCUGUAACAUCAGACAGUGACGACCAUGCCCCUGAAACAAGGGUUUCCAAGGCUAAAAAAGUCAGGAAACUCAAACGGACCUUGAAAAGCUGUAAGUCAUCUUCACCACAGAGCACACCUGAAGAAAAGGGGGACACAGAGGAGGAUAAGUGGUCUCUGUCUUCCAUAACACUCUCUUCAAGUUCCUCCUGGUCCCACAAGACUGAAAAAGAGUGCACUGAAAGUGAAGGAGCUCCUAAAAAGGAUAAGAAAAAAUUCUUCAGAAGAGUUAAGGGGGCAUUUAAAAACAAUUUUAGCAACAAGGUUGUCCCUGUAACAUCAGACAGUGACGACCAUGCCCCUGAAACAAGGGUUUCUAAGGCUAAAAAAGUCAGGAAACUCAAGCGGACCUUGACAAGCUGUAAGUCAUCUUCACCACACAGCACACCUGAAGAGAAGGGGGACACAGAGGAGGACAAGUUGUCUCAGUCUUCUUUUG